AUGAGUAAAGGGGGACAGGCGCGGGGGAGGACGGUGGGCACGAUGGGAGCCUGGGAUGCAUGCGCUUGGACUGCCCGGCUGCCUGCGAGCUGGACGUGCGGGAGAGAGGAGAGGAGGGAAGGGGCCUCCUCGGCUCUGGGCCUUAGCCCCUCGGACGAGUACAGACGUGUCUUCAGUGCCAAGGACAGGCGAUCUAAGCGACUGCUGGACACCUGGUCCCUCCACUUCACAGCCAGCUUCAACCGCAGAGCGUGUACAAGCAAGGACAGGGAUGCCGGCGUUUGGAGAGGAGCACAGACUGCUUUCUUGGAAGGCGGGGGCCGGGCGGACGGGAAGGGGACGUGUUUUCAGUUGCAAUUUCCAUCCUGAAGAUUUAGGAAGGAGCUGAUAGGGUCUGGGACGCCUCCUUAAUGCAUGCAGUUCUUGUAUGGGACGCUAAGAAUUCGGAGUUCCUAACCAGACGUCGAGAACCGACGUCUGAGGCUUCCGAGCAAGGUAACCGAUGGCAAGCUGGGAUUAUCAAAAAGAUUCUGGUGGCAGCGGAUAUUGGGGAAAACUUCGAUUCAAACAAGAGGAUGAGGACUUCAGGGUAUCCGGGAAUUGCUGUAAAGUGAAGAUUUUCUCUUUUUUCCCCUUUGAAGAGAUUUUAAAAAGAUUUGGUAGCAGCCGGCCACUGACGGGAGGCGGGGUCGCUCAGGAUUCGGCCAGGCGCUGUGCUUGGCUGGACUUCCGGGGGGUGGAGGGGAAAGAGGCCGAGGAGCGCGGGGCCGGAAGGCAAGUGGACACGGAAGGAGAAGGAGCUGCGGAGAAGAAAGACGUCUGAGAAGAAGGGCUGGUCAGCGGCGACGACGACAACGCCUAAGGAGGCGAACCGCCCCCUCAGGCGCGCCCGCGGCGGCCGGAAGAACUGCUCGGGGUCCGCCCGGCGCGCGGGGACCGCCGGGAGAUGUAGUCCUCGGGUCUCCGCCUGGGCCCGGCCGCAGUCUGACGGAGCGCGCCGCUCCAGUUAAAACACGCGCACCGGCCCGUCAGCGUGCGGGGUCCUUCAGGGCCAGGAGGCGCCUGCAGUGACGUCACCUCAGGUCACCUCCCCCCUCGGCGAAGGUUUUUGGCGUCUAUCGAAAGCCGUCUACAAAGCAAGCCGGCAAAGGAAGACUAAACCCUACACGGCGAAAGAGGGGACCCGUCCGACGCCUCUCCGCCCUGUGCCGUUUCUUCGGGCGGUGUACCCCCGCCGCCGAGGCGCAGCCCCGCGCCCUGUUUUUCCUCAGGCGGCGCGCGGGCAGCCCCGAGCCGCGGCAUGGGGGCGGAACGAGCCGGGGCGGGGCGGGGUCCUGGCUGAGCGGCGUCGCACGCUCGGGGGGCCGCGCCGGGUGUAUCGUUUCUGUCUGCAGCGCCUGAGGUGGCUCUGGCUCGGAGAGCCGUUCUCCCGGCUCCACGGGGACCUCGGUGCACGGAUGGACCCGCCCGGACUCGGCGGGAAGCGGCCCGAUAGGGCCGGACGGCCCCGACGGCGUCAGCAGAGGCAGGACGGGGCCGAGGCCGCCGGCCCCUGAGGCGCGCGGGCUCC
rnacentral:lncRNA from 1 species